CAAGUCGAACGGUAACGCGGGGCAACCUGGCGACGAGUGGCGAACGGGUGAGUAAUGUAUCGGAACGUGCCCAGUUGUGGGGGAUAACUGCUCGAAAGAGCAGCUAAUACCGCAUACGACCUGAGGGUGAAAGCGGGGGAUCGCAAGACCUCGCGCAAUUGGAGCGGCCGAUAUCAGAUUAGGUAGUUGGUGGGGUAAAGGCCCACCAAGCCAACGAUCUGUAGCUGGUCUGAGAGGACGACCAGCCACACUGGGACUGAGACACGGCCCAGACUCCUACGGGAGGCAGCAGUGGGGAAUUUUGGACAAUGGACGCAAGUCUGAUCCAGCCAUGCCGCGUGCGGGAAGAAGGCCUUCGGGUUGUAAACCGCUUUUGUCAGGGAAGAAACGGUCUGGGUUAAUACCUCGGGCUAAUGACGGUACCUGAAGAAUAAGCACCGGCUAACUACGUGCCAGCAGCCGCGGUAAUACGUAGGGUGCAAGCGUUAAUCGGAAUUACUGGGCGUAAAGCGUGCGCAGGCGGUUAUGCAAGACAGAGGUGAAAUCCCCGGGCUCAACCUGGGAACUGCCUUUGUGACUGCAUAGCUAGAGUACGGUAGAGGGGGAUGGAAUUCCGCGUGUAGCAGUGAAAUGCGUAGAUAUGCGGAGGAACACCGAUGGCGAAGGCAAUCCCCUGGACCUGUACUGACGCUCAUGCACGAAAGCGUGGGGAGCAAACAGGAUUAGAU
rnacentral:rRNA from 1 species